rnacentral:rRNA from 1 species
GACGAACGCUGGCGGCGUGCUUAACACAUGCAAGUCGAACGGAAAGACGCCUUUCUUGGUACUCUAAUGUCGAACGGGGGAGUAACACUAAAGUGAGCUUCCCUUGACUUCGAGAUAGGUACAAGAAACUGGAGCCAAUACCGGAUAGGAAUCAUUUCUUCAAGCGCGGGGUUGGAAAGCUUCAGCCGGUUUUGAUGGACUGGCUGGUUAUCAGCUUGUUGGUGUGGUAGUGUUGUACCAAGGCGUUGUCGGGUAGCCGGACUGAGAGGGCGACCGGCGACACUGGGACUGAGAGACGGCACAGACACCUAAGGGAGGGAGCAGGGGGGAAGCUUGCACGAUCGGCGGAAGCUUGAUGAAGAAACGCUGCGGGUGGGAUGACGCUCUUAGGGUUGUAAACCGAUUUCAGAAGGAGCGAAGCUUGUGGUGACGGUACCUAAACAAAAAGCAACGGCUAACUACGUG